UCGCGGCCUAUCAGCUUGUUGGUGAGGUAAUGGCUCACCAAGGCGUCGACGGGUAGCCGGCCUGAGAGGGUGACCGGCCACACUGGGACUGAGACACGGCCCAGACUCCUACGGGAGGCAGCAGUGGGGAAUAUUGCACAAUGGGCGCAAGCCUGAUGCAGCAACGCCGCGUGAGGGAUGACGGCCUUCGGGUUGUAAACCUCUUUUAGCAGGGAAGAAGCGAAAGUGACGGUACCUGCAGAAAAAGCGCCGGCUAACUACGUGCCAGCAGCCGCGGUAAUACGUAGGGCGCAAGCGUUAUCCGGAAUUAUUGGGCGUAAAGAGCUCGUAGGCGGUUUGUCGCGUCUGCUGUGAAAUCCGGAGGCUCAACCUCCGGCCUGCAGUGGGUACGGGCAGACUAGAGUGCGGUAGGGGAGAUUGGAAUUCCUGGUGUAGCGGUGGAAUGCGCAGAUAUCAGGAGGAACACCGAUGGCGAAGGCAGAUCUCUGGGCCGUAACUGACGCUGAGGAGCGAAAGGGUGGGGAGCAAACAGGCUUAGAUACCCUGGUAGUCCACCCCGUAAACGUUGGGAACUAGUUG
rnacentral:rRNA from 1 species